rnacentral:rRNA from 1 species
GAUGAACGCUGGCGGCGUGCUUAACACAUGCAAGUCGAACGAUUAAAGCCCUCUUCGGAGGGUGUAUAAAGUGGCGAACGGGUGAGUAACACGUGGGCAAUCUGCCCUCCACACCGGGAUAACCCUUGGAAACGAGAGCUAAUACCGGAUACUCCGUCCGGACCGCAUGGUCUGGUCGGGAAAGUUCCGACGGGGGCGGAGGAGCCCGCGGCCCAUUAGCUUGUUGGUGCGGUAACGGCUCACCAAGGCGACGAUGGGUAGCCGAGCUGAGAGGCUGAUCGGCCACACUGGGACUGAGACACGGCCCAGACUCCUACGGGAGGCAGCAGUGGGGAAUUUUGCGCAAUGGGGGAAACCCUGACGCAGCAACGCCGCGUGAGUGAUGAAGGCCCUUGGGUCGUAAAGCUCUGACAGAGGGAAAGAAAUGCAGGGGAGCUAAUAUCUCCCUUGCUUGACGGUACCCUCAAAGGAAGCACCGGCUAACUCCGUGCCAGCCGCCGCGGUAAGAC